UAGCUAUUCUCGACAUAAUUAUCCCCUCAGUUAUCCCCGGCGACAGGGAUAACUAUUUUGUGGAAAUUCACCUUAAUUUAUGGCUUUAUUUGUAUCUUUUUCAAUGGUUUCCAUCAAACGACUAUAUCGCUUUUGAGCGUUUUCAUGUUAUCCCCGGUACAGGGGAUAAUUAUGUCGAGAAUAGCUAUCCAGGGGUGCUAUUCUUGGUC